rnacentral:sRNA from 1 species
AGCAGCCGCGGUAAUUCCAGCUCCAAUAGCGUAUAUUAAAGUUGUUGUGGUUAAAAAGCUCGUAGUUGAACCUUGGGCCUGGCUGGCCGGUCCGCCUCACCGCGUGUACUGGUCCGGCCGGGCCUUUCCCUCUGUGGAACCUCAUGCCCUUCACUGGGUGUGCUGGGGAAACAGGACUUUUACUGUGAAAAAAUUAGAGUGCUCCAGGCAGGCCUAUGCUCGAAUACAUUAGCAUGGAAUAAUAGAAUAGGACGUGUGGUUCUAUUUUGUUGGUUUCUAGGACCGCCGUAAUGAUUAAUAGGGACAGUCGGGGGCAUCAGUAUUCAAUUGUCAGAGGUGAAAUUCUUGGAUUUAUUGAAGACUAACUACUGCGAAAGCAUUUGCCAAGGAUGUUUUCAUUAAUCAGGAACGAAAGUUAGGGGAUCGAAGACGAUCAGAUACCGUCGUAGUCUUAACCAUAAACUAUGCCGACUAGGGAUCGGACGGUGUUAAUUUUUUGACCC